GUAGUACUCCCUCUCCGUCCGAAAAUACUUGUCAUCAAAAUGGAUAAAAAAGAUGUAUCUAGAACUAAUAUACAUCUAGAUACAUCCCCUUUUAUUCAUUUUGAUGACAAGUAUUUCCGGACGGAGGGAGUACCUC
rnacentral:pre_miRNA from 1 species